CGCGGAAGAAAUCCUUUUCCGUGUGAGGGGCCAUGGAGGCUGCGGAGGGCGUUGAGGUACGAGACCGCCGAAAGACUGAGCAUGAACCGGACCGGCUCGCAGGCGAGGUGGCUGGAACGGCGGGGAACAUAUCCUGCGGGCCCCCUCUCUCCGGGACGUCCUACUGGCUGGACUUCUGGCUGAUGAUCCUCUUCGACUUCGUGCUCUUCGUCUUCGUUUAUCUGCUACCUUAAGCGGCAGCAUCGAGGGACAACUAGACUGCUUUCAAGAAAAACCAGCUAAUGCUACUCCUUUAGCUGCUUUUGCUUCACAACCAAAAAUAAAAGAACACUGGAAAAUUGUUACAUCAGAAAUCUCAAAAACAACUGCUCUUUCUAUACUUGAAUUGUUGACAUAUUUUUGCUGAGCAAUUAGAUAUGGUGAAUGUGUUCUAUGAUGAACUGUCAUGUUUCACAUUAUUCUUCAAUGUGCCAGUUGUGCCUUACGUCAAAUAUAACAGUCAUUGAAAUGUCACAACACUUUCAAUUAAGUUUGAAGUCAUCUAUUUUCAGCAAUCGACUCUUAUCGCCAUCCAAGUGGAUUGGAGACAAAUAUCUCUGUAACUAUAAUUUAUGAUGAACUCCUAGCAUAAAAUGAGAAAACAUAACCUGAUCAAUUCGGAGGGUUGUUUUAGCUGCUUUUAUGUAAAGAAGUUGCAUAUAUUCUUCUCAAAUGCAAGGAAAGUCAUUUGCCCAGUUUGAAGUUUUAAAGUACUUUAUGCUUAGCUUUGUGCCUUCAGAACAAUGUGUGCUUGGACUGUGCAGAUUGUAUUUUAUGAUCCUUAUGAUAGACAUUUGAAUAAAUUUUACUCUGUCUAAUGUG